rnacentral:rRNA from 1 species
UACGUAGGGUGCAAGCGUUGUCCGGAAUUACUGGGCGUAAAGGGCUCGUAGGCGGCCAACUAAGUCGGACGUGAAAUCCCCAGGCUCAACCUGGGAACUGCGUCCGAUACUGGAUGGCUUGAAUCCGGGAGAGGGAUGCAGAAUUCCAGGUGUAGCGGUGAAAUGCGUAGAUAUCUGGAGGAAUACCGGUGGCGAAGGCGGCAUCCUGGACCGAGAUUGACGCUGAGGAGCGAAAGCUAGGGGAGCAAACGGG